AUCUAAGUCUGGAUCGGAUAAGUGCUGAAAGCAUCUAAGUACGAAGCCAGCCUCAAGAUGAGAUAUCCCUAGAGGGUCGUUGUAGACUACGACGUAGAUAGGCUACAGGUGUAAGGGCAGCAAUGUCGAAGCCGAGUAGUACUAAUAGCCCGAGACUUUCGAUCAU
rnacentral:ncRNA from 1 species